CGCCUCUUGAUAAUAAUAAGAGGUCCUGCCUGCCCAGUGACAAAUUCAACGGCCGCGGUACCCUAACCGUGCAAAGGUAGCAUAAUCACUUGUUCCUUAAAUAGGGACUCGUAUCAACGGCAUCACGAGGGUUAUACUGUCUCCCCCCUCUAAUCAGUGAAACUGAUCUCCCCAUGAAAAAGUGGGGAUAAUAUUAUAAGACGAGAAGACCCCAUGGAGCUUUAAACUCAAUAGCAAUUCAGCAAAUUUUUAAGCUACAAAACAUGCUAACAGUUUUAGGUUGGGGCGACCACGGAGUAAAAAUCAACCUCCGCAACUAAAAGAUUUAAAUCUUUACCUAAGAGUUACCGCUCUAAGAAUUAGGAAACUAAAGGACUAUGACCCGAUUAUCGAUCAAUGAACCAAGUUACCCUGGGGAUAACAGCGCAAUCUACUUCAAGAGUCCAUAUCGACAAGUAGGCUUACGACCUCGAUGUUGGAUCAGGGUAUCCUAGUGGUGCAGCCGCUACUAAGGGUUCGUUUGUUCAACGAUUAAAACCCU
rnacentral:rRNA from 1 species